rnacentral:rRNA from 1 species
ACGAACGCUGGCGGCGUGCUUAACACAUGCAAGUCGCACGGAAAGGCCCUGCUUUUGUGGGGUGCUCGAGUGGCGAACGGGUGAGUAACACGUGAGUAACCUGCCCUUGACUUUGGGAUAACUUCAGGAAACUGGGGCUAAUACCGGAUAGGAGCUCCUGCUGCAUGGUGGGGGUUGGAAAGUUUCGGCGGUUGGGGAUGGACUCGCGGCUUAUCAGCUUGUUGGUGGGGUAGUGGCUUACCAAGGCUUUGACGGGUAGCCGGCCUGAGAGGGUGACCGGCCACAUUGGGACUGAGAUACGGCCCAGACUCCUACGGGAGGCAGCAGUGGGGAAUAUUGCACAAUGGGCGGAAGCCUGAUGCAGCAACGCCGCGUGCGGGAUGACGGCCUUCGGGUUGUAAACCGCUUUCGCCUGUGACGAAGCGUGAGUGACGGUAAUGGGUAAAGAAGCACCGGCCAACUACGUG